rnacentral:rRNA from 1 species
CCUACGGGUGGCAGCAGUGAGGAAUAUUGGUCAAUGGCCGUAAGGCUGAACCAGCCAAGUCGCGUGAAGGAAGAAGGAUCUAUGGUUUGUAAACUUCUUUUAUAGGGGAAUAAAGGUAUCCACGUGUGGCUAUUUGCAUGUACCCUAUGAAUAAGCAUCGGCUAACUCCGUGCCAGCAGCCGCGGUAAUACGGAGGAUGCGAGCGUUAUCCGGAUUUAGUGGGUUUAAAGGGUGCGUAGGUGGUUUGUUAAGUCAGCGGUGAAAGUUUGUGGCUCAACCAUAAAAUUGCCGGUGACACUGGAAGACUUGAGUGUGUUUGAGGUAGGCGGAAUGCGUGGUGUAGCGGUGAAAUGCAUAGAUAUCACGCAGAACUCCGAUUGCGAAGGCAGCUUACUAAGCCAUAACUGACACUGAAGCACGAAAGCGUGGGGAUCAAACAGGAUUAGAUACCCGAGUAGUC